rnacentral:rRNA from 1 species
AUUGAACGCUGGCGGCAUGCCUUACACAUGCAAGUCGAACGGCAGCACGGACUUCGGUCUGGUGGCGAGUGGCGAACGGGUGAGUAAUGUAUCGGAACGUACCUUUCAGUGGGGGAUAACGUAGCGAAAGUUACGCUAAUACCGCAUAUUCUGUGAGCAGGAAAGCAGGGGAUCGCAAGACCUUGCGCUGAUUGAGCGGCCGAUAUCAGAUUAGCUAGUUGGUGGGGUAAAGGCCUACCAAGGCUACGAUCUGUAGCGGGUCUGAGAGGAUGAUCCGCCACACUGGAACUGAGACACGGUCCAGACUCCUACGGGAGGCAGCAGUGGGGAAUUUUGGACAAUGGGGGCAACCCUGAUCCAGCCAUGCCGCGUGAGUGAAGAAGGCCUCGGUGUAAG